UGGUAAUACUGACAACUCCAAGUAUAUCUAC
rnacentral:piRNA from 1 species